rnacentral:rRNA from 1 species
ACGAACGCUGGCGGCGUGCUUAACACAUGCAAGUCGAACGGAAAGGCCCUGCUUUUGUGGGGUGCUCGAGUGGCGAACGGGUGAGUAACACGUGAGUAACCUGCCCUUGACUUUGGGAUAACUUCAGGAAACUGGGGCUAAUACCGGAUAGGAGCUCCUGCUGCAUGGUGGGGGUUGGAAAGUUUCGGCGGUUGGGGAUGGACUCGCGGCUUAUCAGCUUGUUGGUGGGGUAGUGGCUUACCAAGGCUUUGACGGGUAGCCGGCCUGAGAGGGUGACCGGCCACAUUGGGACUGAGAUACGGCCCAUACUCCUACGGGAGGCAGCAGUGGGGAAUAUUGCACAAUGGGCGGAAGCCUGAUGCAGCAACGCCGCGUGCGGGAUGACGGCCUUCGGGUUGUAAACCGCUUUCGCCUGUGACGAAGCGUGAGUGACGGUAAUGGGUAAAGAAGCACCGGCUAACUACGUG